AUAAAUGGUGGAGGUGAUGGAGAGUGCCUGGAAGUACACAGACUUCAGCUAGGCUGCAGAUGGAACAAGCUCACUUGCAGAUGGCUAUGGGGAUCUAAUCAACCAAAAGAGAAGGCUGUCAUCAUCCUGCAAGAGGAUGACAGUUAUUGAGCUUACCGGGCCAUGGGAAGUGGUGUUGGAUGAGACGCAUGAAGAGGAAGGAGAUUAGAUACUUGGAGCUAGCGUCUGAGGUUGAGCAGUUAGUCUGGAAAAUAAACUUGUGCCCCAUGGAAAUUGGGAGAGGAUUUGUGGCAACUCAAACCACCAGACUACUUAAGGAUUUGUAACCUGGCUUUGCUUCGGGCAUCAAGAAACUAUCAGCAGCAGAGAGCGAGAAAAGCUCAGUCUGA